ACCCGAUUGGCACAAUCGGCUAGCGCGUUGGACUGUAUGUUUGAAUCCCUUCUCUCUUUUCUGCCGGUGUCUCUGUGAAGAGCUCGACUAACAGCGAAUUAGUUUAAUCCAAAGGUUAUGGGUUCGACCCCCAUAUCGGGUG
rnacentral:tRNA from 1 species